rnacentral:miRNA from 1 species
CAGGGUUAUUGGUUUUGUGUGA